rnacentral:lncRNA from 1 species
CGACGGAAAGCUCGGACCUGUCACGAAGGGGGAUCGCCCCGGAGACGAGACGCGGACAGGGAGAGGGGAGAACGAGGAGUCGCAAAAUACGGCGGGAAGCCCGCGGGAAGGUCGUCUGGGAGAAGACUUAGAAGGAUCGAUGUGUAGAGCCGCGCAUUGCCAACUUUGUCUUUCUUCGUUUGCACGAUUCGCGGUUCUUUGUGAAAGAGAGGAAAUUCCUCUCACGGCCACAGCGGUCAAGCUGGUGACCGCGGGCCGCCGACUAAAACCGGAGGACGCUCGCAACGGUCGCUAGCGAGUGCAUCUGGGAGAGGAAACGCCGCUGGGUCACGCAGGCCGAGACGUCAAAGAGGAGAAGGAAACGAGCGAAAAGUGAGAGUUGGAACGUGCAGCAGUGUGUCUUUCCGUGUCGUGGUCUGUCUCUCAAUCGCCGUUCUCCUCGCCGACCGAAUUCUCCCUUUUCCCCGCCCCGUUCUGACGUCGGAGCUCCUCUCGCAGCUCCGGUGUGCACUUUUUCUCUGUCUUCCUCUCCUCUGCGCCUCUUUCUUCCCUUUCUCUUCCUACGCGCCACGCCCAAAACCUCUGUCUUCACCGCCGUCUCCGUGAUUCCUUGCUCUCUUUCCGUGUCUUGUGUUCCCCGCGUCUAUCGCCACUCUUCGCCCUCCCUCUGCUCUUUUCUUCACACAGACGUUCCGCCGCCCGACUGUGUGCUCCCCCCCAGCCCCUUCCCUUGCUCCUGUCCUCUUCUGUAACGCGUCUCUUUCCCC